rnacentral:rRNA from 1 species
AUGGUACAGGAGGGCGAACCACGUUUAAAUCAAGCCAGGGGCGUAUCUCAUGCUCCUGCGAGACGACCCAAGGCACCACCACCUGGACAUGCAAAAAUACACGUUGAUGCGGGCAUCAGACCUGGUCGGGGAGGAGCUGCAGCAGCGGUAUGUAGAGACACAGAUGGCACUUUCUUGGGGAGUUCUGCCCUUGUCAUCGGCGGGGUGGAUGACCCGGCCACGAUGGAGACAAUUGCGUGCCGGGAGGCAUUGGCACUAGCGGAGGACCUACAUAUACAACACUUCAUCGUCUCGUCGGACUCAAAACAAGUUGUUGUUGAUAUCAAAGACAUAAGUAGAGGGAACUACGGAGCUAUUAUUAGUGAAAUCAUCGAUAGAGCUAGUUUUUUUCAUUGUAAUUUUGAGUUUGAAGGUCGUGCUUUCAAUCUUGAAGCACAUAGGUUAGCCAAGUUCGCACUUUCAUUGGGUUCGGGAUGCCACGUCUGGUUUGGCCAAUCCCACAACCCGAACUGUAUCCCACACCAUGUGGAUUUCUCGGAAUAA